AAUUCAGAUAAACCCGGUUAAAUAUGCCCUUCAGAUAAACAUUAACUAUUUUUAGAAUAAGUAUGUCCCAGCCCAUGCAAUAUUUAGGACAUACUUAUGCUAAAGAAUUAUUCUUUGUUUACUGAAAUGCAAAUUUAACUGGACACUUUGGUUUU
rnacentral:miRNA from 1 species